UGCAGACAGCUGGGCCAAGGCCAGUGGGGCAGGAUACUCUUCUCUGCCCUUGGAAUGUGGUCAAGGAACUGGAACUGUUCUAUUUGCAAGCUGCCAGUGGGGGCCAUGUGCUGGUUUUGGUGUGAAUUGUGCUAAAUGCUGUCGGGCGACUAAACCUGACUUAACACCCUGAGAGUGAGGCCAGGACUUGGCAGAGAAGCUGCUAAACUGACCUGGAGAUACAGGACUGGCAGGGAACCCCUUGAAGACAAAUCAAUUCAGCCAAAACUGGGCUCUGAGGGCACCUGAGUGGUUGGAGUAGCCUGAGGAUUAUCUUGGUUUCCAUCAAGACCUCACCAUAAUAGGACAUUUUGCUGGAAGUGACAACUUGCAGUGGUUUAUUUGUGCUUCAAGAUUUUGAUACCAGACAAAUUCUUCUGUGACACCCCAAAUCCCCAAUCAUCUGGAAAAUUAAGAAGAAUGCAAAGCUGCAGAUAAAUGGAAAUUCCUUUUCCCCUUCCCUCAUGCCCAGCUAAGUUUCAAACCCAGCUGAAAAAUUCUGGGUUCCAUGGUGAGCAGAGCCAGCUCUGGUUACCUCUGAGCCUUUUCUUGUAUCACUGCACAGCUGCAGGAACUUUAGGGGGAGUCCUUUAGGGAGGAUGAGUGAGAAACAAAUCCACUUUGGGUAGGAAUGUCCCAGUGCUGAGAUACAAUUCUACCAAAGCUCCAACCACAGAACCUUUAAAAUUAUCUUUAACUCUGUCUUUUGAACAGAGAAAAUAAAUUAAAGGGCGUGCAUGGGAGAGACAAAUCACAGAGAUAAGGAUCAUAUAU